UACGGGGGGAGCAAGCGUUGUUCGGAUUUACUGGGCGUAAAGGGCGCGUAGGCGGCCAGCACAAGUCAGUUGUGAAAUCUCCGGGCUUAACUCGGAAAGGUCAACUGAUACUGUGCGGCUAGAGUGCAGAAGGGGCAACUGGAAUUCUCGGUGUAGCGGUGAAAUGCGCAGAUAUCAGGAAGAACACCCGUGGCGAAGGCGGUUCUCUGGGACGGUACUGACGCUGAGACGCGAAAGCGUGGGGAGCGAACAGG
rnacentral:rRNA from 1 species